UAAGCACAGGAUUCUGACCUCACAGUAGGAUGGGGAAGGAGAAAACGGGCAGGGGGAGAUGGCGGAGGAAUGGGAAGCGGAGUCCCUGUAGCCCCAAGAUAGGCGGGGCGGAGCAGCUGUGGGGGUUGUGGAAGAGACCCCACAAGCAGAAAGGGACUUUAAAGUCGUUUCAGCAGCUAGCGGUGCUGGUCAGUUUCUGCACAAGUCGUUUCAGCAGCUAGCGGUGCUGGUCAGUUUCUGCACACAGAGGGUGAAUUUUUACAGAACCGAGUAGAGGUCCAGGCCUGAGAAGUUUGGACCUGGAGUGUGUACACUUGCCCUGGUUAAAACCAAGAUGGGACUCAAGAAUUUGGCCAGUUUUCUCACAAGGAAGUUCUGGAAGUGUUUCUUUCACAUGAUGGCAUUACCCUGAAAUGGGGGCCUGGAUCCAAAGGUGACCACUUUGCUGGAAGCUCAGGGGAAGGGAACUGAUGCCUUAUUGAGCUGCUGCUAUGUGCCAGACACUUUACAUACAUUAUCUCAACUGCUUGAAAUCAUCUUUGGAAUAAGGCCAGUCUAUAAAAAAAAAUUUCAUAAAUAAUCCAUUAUCUUGCUUAUUCUUCGGAGCAAUCCUAUUAGAAUAAGCACUGGGCCCAUUUCACAGGCAGGGAAAUUAAGGCUCGAGGAAGUUAAACAACUUCCCAAGGCCACGGAGCUUGUAAGUGUCAGAGCUGUGGUUUGGAACCCAGAUUUCAUUGUCCCUGAACUCAAGGCCAGUUCUUUUUUGGGUGUGUAAAUUCUGUUGUACUGACUCCACUCCUGCUUGCCCUCAGUAACACACACUUGGUUUCGUUAUGUCACAGUGGCAUCAUUCGGGCUGCAGCCACCACUUAAAAAAGAAAGCAAGUCAUAAAGGAGCCACGUGCCAAGGCGAAAUGCUGACUGUGUGCGGUGGCAGACGUCAGCAGGCAUCAGGGGAUGCGUGGGUGACAAUGGCAAGGCAUGAAGUAUGGUGUUUAUUAGGUACUGGCAAAGGACCGAGAGUUCUAGAUGCCAAGCAGUGAUGAGUGGGAACGGCCUGUCUCAGCUAUCACCCAGCCCCAAAUCCUGAGCAGGUCUCAGUUUGGGCCUGUUGAAUCCACUAGACUAUUGAAAAGACUGUCCCUGGGAGCUCUCCUGGCCACUGACCAGACAGGGAUUUCUCUGGACAAUACUAAUACUAAUACUAAUACUAAUACUAAUACUAAUACUAAUACCAAUUAGAGCUCAUGCUGAUGGAGCAUUGUGUUAAAAACCUUAGCAUUAAGCUUUGAUCCAUUUACAUACUCUUAGCCCCUGACUGGAGGUAUCUGUUCUCUCUUAGCUUCCACGAGGUCCCCAGCUAUACAGGUUGGUUCUCUCUGAACCCACAGACGGGCUCGUUCCCUGCAUGCACUGGCCACAUGUCAGUAAGGGAACUGGGGGCUUGUGUGGGCUAGAAGGAUGGUGGUUUGAGACUAUACACCAUCUCCUCUGCUGGAGACACAGCUCCAACAGGACUUCUCAGCCACAAUCCCAGUAACAGCUGUCUACGUUUAGCAAUUCCACUUCCAGGAAUUUAUUUUACUGCUUCCCUUGCACCUGCAGGCAGAACUGUAUAUACAGGAGCACGCUUGUUAUCAUUGCUUGUAAUAGCAGAAACUGGAAACAACCUAAAUGUCCAUCAGUGGGGGAGUGAUUGAGUAGAUUACAACACCCCCAUACAAUGGGAUUCUGUGCUCCAAGGAAUGGAUGCCUUGUAUGCACUGAUAUGGGAUGGAUGCCAACUUGUAUUGCUAAGUGAAAAAGCAGUGGUAAUAUGCUGCGCUACCAUUUGGUUUUAAAAAGAAAGAUACACUCGUACGUGAUAGAAAUUUUCUGGAGAGAUACAAAAGAAACUGUUAACAGUGGGAUGCCUCUGAAGAAAGAUACCAGGGACUGGAGGUCUGGGAGAGCAAAGGAGACUUAUUUUUCAUUGUAUACCUUUUUGUGUUCUUUUUAAAAAUUUUUUACUAUGUGCAUGCAUUAUCUUUUUGAUUAAACAGGAAGUGGGGGGCGGUUUAGAAAAAACAAAUCUGGCUUUAUCUGGCUUCUCAGUCUACUCACCUCCCCUGUCUCUAGCCAGGUCUUGCCACCCUGACUUACUAGCCAUUUCUCAGCUCCUUUUCCACUGGCCCCAGCCCAUGCCCACCUCUCCCCAAGGCAUCCAUUACCACCUCUUACAGGUACUUAAAACCUACCCUUUUGCCUUGAAAUACAAAUAACUAAUCCAGAGAGAAGGCUGAGCUUCAUUGCACUUAUAGAACAGACAGGAAUCAGCUGGCGCUGAGAUGCUCAAUAAAUGUUUGCUGAGUUGAAUUGAAUCUGUGACUCGGUCGGUUACACUGAGCAAGGUACUAAUUGGCUCAAGUCAGAUCUCCAAAUCCCACUUAGUUUGGCUCUUUUUGAACCCAAACCCUUGCUCCCAUGGGCACAGUCAUAGGGAAGCAGGAGCCCACACAUGCAAGGAAAGUGAGUGCUGGAUGAGGUGGGGAUACCCUCUCAUCUCCUGGAGGCACAUCUCAGAGAGACUUUAGGAGGCAGGGAUGGAACAUGGUGUGAU